rnacentral:rRNA from 1 species
GACGAACGCUGGCGGCGUGCUUAACACAUGCAAGUCGAACGAAGAGCGAGGGAAUCUUGCUUCGAUCAAUCUUAGUGGCGGACGGGUGAGUAACGCGUAAUCAACCUGCCCUUCAGAGGGGGACAACAGUUGGAAACGACUGCUAAUACCGCAUACGAUCUAAUCUCGGCAUCGAGGAUGGAUGAAAGGUGGCCUCUACAUGUAAGCUAUCACUGAAGGAGGGGAUUGCGUCUGAUUAGCUAGGUGGAGGGGUAACGGCCCACCAAGGCGAUGGUCAGUAGCCGGGCUGAGAGGAUGAACGGCCAAAUUGGGAAUGAGACACGGCCCAGACUCCUACGGGAGGCAGCAGUGGGGAAUCUUCCGCAAUAGACGAAAGUCUGACGGAGCAACGCCGCGUGAGGGAUGACGGCCUUCGGGUUGUAAAGCUCGGUUAAUCGGGACGAAAGGCCUUCUUGCGAAUAGGGAGAAGGAUUGACGGUACCGGAAUAGAAAGCCACGGCUAACUACGUG